GGGGGGGGGGAGGCGAAGGCGAGAGAAAGAGAGCAAGGAAAAAUGGGAUGCGUGAAAACCUCACAGUUUUCCUCGGUCUCCGCUUUCUCUCGCCUUCGCCUUUCCCCCCUAGUUUCUCACAC
rnacentral:miRNA from 1 species